rnacentral:snRNA from 1 species
GUGCUUGCUUUGGCAGCACAUAUACUAAAAUUGGAACGAUACAGAGAAGAUUAGCGUGGCCCCUGUGCAAGGAUGACACGCAAAUUCAUGAAGAGUUGCAUAUUAAA